rnacentral:lncRNA from 1 species
CCGAACCGUUGCCCGUCGGCUCCGCCCACCCGGCUGGCGAGGGGCCGGUUUUUGCGCGCGAGGCUGAGCCGGCCGCGUCGGACCUCUCCGGCCGUGGGGCUCCCGUGAGGGCGGCUUGUGCUGGGCGGCGAGCGCGUUAGAUCCUGGCCUUCUGCCGAGCUUCAGGGCGAGGCCGUGGCAAAACCGGGAUGGAAAAAUCUGAGGGCGUUGCCCGGAUGUUUGUGGCCGCCGAUCUGAAACGCAAACUCUGGGCGGCUCAUCACGGCAGUAAAAUCCAGCACGGUGAAUUUACUUCCAAGGACAUUGCAAACAACUGCAGAGUUAAUGCUAAUAUUUUGUCUGGUACCCUAGAAGAAUUUCAUGCAUGGCAAUCUUCCCUCUAUGAACUCCAUGAUGUGCUUAAUGCAUGUUUAAUGAAUGGAACAAUGACCAAGGAAGACCAGAGUUGA